CAGUUCGGACUGUGGUCUGCAACCCGACCACACGAAGCUGGAAUCGCUAGUAAUCGCGAAUCAGAAUGUCGCGGUGAAUACGUUCCCGGGUCUUGUACACACCGCCCGCCACACCAUGGGAGUCAGCAACGCCCGAAGUCAGUGACCUAACCCUUAUAGGGAGGAGCUGCCGAAGGCGGGGCCGGUAACUGGGGUGAAGUCGUAACAAGGUAAC
rnacentral:rRNA from 1 species